AGUCUAGUGAGUGGUAGUCAUUAGCACCAUGGCUGUUGUAGGGAUUUUUUUUUUUUUAUCUGUAGCUAAUUUACAUUUAACUUGCCUUAAUUCAUUGGCUUCCAUUUCUAUUUUUUUGAAAAGCCCUGAAAAUAACCCAUCCAUUUAUUUAGCAUUUUCAUUAUUCAAAGAGUAUUUUAAAGAAUUAUUGUGGUAAUAUAACAAUAAUAAUAUUUUUAGAAGAAACCAGAAGUUGAAUAGUUUAAAUGUGAGCUCAUGUGCUGUUUCUUCCCUCUUACCCUCUGCCUGGCCCUAUGUUUAUUGAACGCCAUAGAAUGCCAAGACAGCAUUUGUAAAGGGGGAUUUAUUUAACUCUGGGUGAGUUGUACAAAUGCAAUAAUGUGGCCCAACUCUUGUUUAAUUUUGAAGGCUCUCUCCCAGACAGCAUUGCUCAUCAUGGACGGUUCAAGCCAAAUUAUCCAUUAUUGUUCCCCAAGUUUACAAUUAAACUAUCGAUCAAAUCUGGCAGUGAUUUCUCCAGCAGCCCAAGCUUGGAAGCUGUGGAAUUACAUCAGAACCUGAGCGCGUGGAGCCGGAGAAGGUGACGCCGACAGACAGAUGCUGACCGAAGGCUGCGCUGCGGACCAGCCACCUCGGGAUGCAGCCGCUGGUGAUUUUCCUGGAGCCAAGAAGCACUGAGCCAGCACCACGGCCACCGACAGCGGUGGCGUGCUCAGAGUCAGAAAUCGGUAUUAGUCUCUCCUGGCCUGGAGGCAGGAGAUGUCAAAAGCUAAAUCAUGAUCUACCCUGGCUUCCUGGCUAAAUUGUGUAUGAAGGCCUCAGGCAAAAAGGUAUGACUCUGGCCCCCCAGUCCCCAGCUGUACCAACUGUCAAGGAUUAUAGUUACUUUAGGAAAAACUGAAACAUUAAGCAACAUUAACUAAAGCGGCAUGAGGGGAUGCACAGCAGGUUAAGCCUGGAUUGGGAUGCCCACAUCCCAGGUUGGAUUACCUGCGAUCAACUACCAGGUCUGCCGUCUGAUCCAGCUUCCAGCUAAUGUGCCUGGAGACAGUGGAUGAUCACCCAGGUGCUUGGGUGUCUACUACCCACAUAGGAGACAGAGUCCUGGGCUCCUGGCUUGACCUGACCCAACCUCAGCUAUUGCAGUUAUUUGGGGAGUGAAACAGUAGAUGGAAGAUUUGUUUCUCUCUGUCAAAUAAAGGAAAAAAAUGAUUAAGUAAAUAUUUUUAAAUGUUUGAAUGUGUUGUUAAAAUAUAAAUUUAUUUUUUAACCCAUUAUCCUUUUAGAGUUGGACUUAU